rnacentral:rRNA from 1 species
GACGAACUGUCCUAACGUUGUUCGGAAUCACUGGGUGUAAAGGGCGCGUAGGUGGUCUGAUAAGGGUGUGGUGAAAGCCCGGGGCUCAACCCCGGGUCGGCCGUGCCGACUGUUGGACUAGAGUGCUGUAGGGGCAGGCGGAAUUCCGGGUGUAGCGGUGGAAUGCGUAGAGAUCCGGAGGAAGACCGGUGGCGAAGGCGGCCUGCUGGGCAGUUACUGACACUGAGGCGCGACAGCGUGGGGAGCAAACAGG